AGGGCUGUGGAUCAGUGGAAGAGCUUCCGCUUCUUAUGCAGAAGGUACCAGGUUCAAACUCCGGCAUCUCUA
rnacentral:tRNA from 1 species